rnacentral:rRNA from 1 species
UCCAGCACCCAUAUCACCCUGCAACUCACAACUGGCAGCCCACUGAAGCUAAGCAGAUGUGUGCCUAGUCAGUACGUGGAUGAGAGACCUCCUGGGAAACACUAAGGUUGCUGCUGGAA